rnacentral:rRNA from 1 species
UAGCUAGUUGGUGGGGUAAGGGCCUACCAAGGCGACGAUCGGUAGCUGGUCUGAGAGGAUGACCAGCCACACUGGAACUGAGACACGGUCCAGACUCCUACGGGAGGCAGCAGUGGGGAAUAUUGGACAAUGGGGGCAACCCUGAUCCAGCAAUGCCGCGUGUGUGAAGAAGGCCUGAGGGUUGUAAAGCACUUUCAGUGGGGAGGAGGGUUGAUAGGUUAAGAGCUGAUUAACUGGACGUUACCCACAGAAGAAGCACCGGCUAACUCCGUGCCAGCAGCCGCGGUAAUACGGAGGGUGCGAGCGUUAAUCGGAAUUACUGGGCGUAAAGGGUGCGUAGGUGGUUGAUUAAGUUAUCUGUGAAAUUCCUGGGCUUAACCUGGGACGGUCAGAUAAUACUGGUUGACUCGAGUAUGGGAGAGGGUAGUGGAAUUUCCGGUGUAGCGGUGAAAUGCGUAGAGAUCGGAAGGAACACCAGUGGCGAAGGCGGCUACCUGGCCUAAUACUGACACUGAGGCACGUAAGCGUGGGGAGCAAACAGGAUUAGAUACCCUGGUAGUCCACGCUGUAAACGAUGUCAACUAGCUGUUGGUUAUAUGAAAAUAAUUAGUGGCGC